rnacentral:rRNA from 1 species
CCUACGGGUGGCUGCAGUGGGGAAUAUUGGACAAUGGGGGCAACCCUGAUCCAGCCAUGCCGCGUGUGUGAAGAAGGCCCUCGGGUUGUAAAGCACUUUCAGUGAGGAAGAACGCCUGGUGGUUAAUACCCAUCAGGAAAGACAUCACUCACAGAAGAAGCACCGGCUAACUCCGUGCCAGCAGCCGCGGUAAUACGGAGGGUGCGAGCGUUAAUCGGAAUUACUGGGCGUAAAGCGCGCGUAGGUGGCUUGAUAAGCCGGUUGUGAAAGCCCCGGGCUCAACCUGGGAACGGCAUCCGGAACUGUCAAGCUAGAGUGCAGGAGAGGAAGGUAGAAUUCCCGGUGUAGCGGUGAAAUGCGUAGAGAUCGGGAGGAAUACCAGUGGCGAAGGCGGCCUUCUGGACUGACACUGACACUGAGGUGCGAAAGCGUGGGUAGCACACAGGAUUAGAUACCCCAGUAGUC